ensembl:lncRNA
UAAUAUUCCGGACUCGUUCGGAAUAUUUUCUCAGAUGUGCUGGAAGACGCCAAAGUUGGAUAUAAGGAUUUACCCAGCAAGAGAUUACUGUCUGGUGAAUCUCCAAUCACUUGUCCCCUCAUAGAUGUGUCAAGCCUGGAGGGUCCAGUUUGGAACCAAGGGGCUGUCCAAUUCCCCAUAAGACCUUGGGGGGAGGGCAGAUGGCCUGGCUUUAGCAUUUUAUUUUUUAAUUAUUAUUUCAAUGUCAUUUCUGUGAAGCAAUAGCAAGAUUUGGCAGCUGCCUUACUCAUAGGGCAUCUGGUAAACAAUGUGUUUUUUUUACUACAAGUUGUAACAGAGGGGAAUCUUCUGGAUUGCAUGCCAGUCAUGUGUAUGUGCAGGAGGACAGGACAUAUGUGUUUGUAUGGUAACCAAAUUUUGAGGUCAUAGAAUAAUAUCUAAAACACACUAUGUCAUAAACUGAAUUUAGUGCUGGUUUUGCAUCUUAUUCAUCCCAUAUUGUAUUGGAAUACAACUGAUGAAACUGAACAUUUUUAAAAGUAUUUGGGUUUUCAUUAAGUGGUUUUAAUUAAUCCUGAGUUUUGUUUGUCUUUUUAUUCCCUGCAAAACAAGCCUAUUUAAACUGACGUUCAUGAGGUCAUAAUGAAGGAUGCGUGUCUGGCAUCCAUAAAAAAUAUGUCACGGAAUUGCCUCCAAAAAAACUGGCACAUCAUACUAGGAGGAAGGUUGCAUUAGUCUAAUUUGCUAUUGCUGGUGGCUGUUUGCUUGCAUGGAACAUGUGAAAUUUACAUGCAUGCUUGAUGUAUUUGGUUUAAUUUGUGACAGACUUUAGGAAACUUUGAAGAAAAAGUUAUACAUAUAUUGUGUUCUGUGAAAUUAGAAAUAACCAAAUCCAUUUUUUUUCCACUUCAGAUUCUAUAAAUGCCUAAAUAGCCUUUAUCACUUUGGUGGAAUCCACUAAAAAAUGAGAAAUUGCAGCCAAAUGUCAGAACAGUUGAUCAGAGACACAAUACCCCUCAUUAUACAUGGUAUAGAUGCAAAGGAUAAAUUCAUUCAGUGACUUCAUAUGCCUGUGAUCUAAAAAGAUAAUAGCGUCUGAGAGAAUAAAAGACCUGAAGUGAUGAUAUUCAACACUGUUUCAAGCUGGUAAUAAUGUAGAUAGGUUCGGAGAGUUCAUAAUCUAACUUUCAUCAGUAAAUUCCAAAAGAAAUUUCAGGCUUUUGUGUGCUGUAAGACAAUUAUUUAACUAAAAGCUUAAAAAAAGGAAAUCUUUUUAGUUAAUUUAAAGUUCCUACAGCCUUAAAAUAAAUUUCUUAAAGAGAUAGUUCACCCAAAAUUGAAAAUGUAUGUACAAUAUUUUCUGUUUUCCUUUGUUUCCACAAACAAAGCUAACAUAUGACUUUAGAAGACGAAGACCAAUUUAACAAAAAAUUUUUUUUGGUAGUUUAGUGUUUACAUUCAUUAGGUGAAAAAGAGUGGUCAUGAAGAAUAUUAAAAGAUUCUCUUUUCGUUGAUGAAAGAAUUUCAGUUUUUUUUUUAUUUCUUAGUGAAUUAUUCCUUUAAUCUUUUAAAGAGGUAGUUCAACCCCCAAAUUCUAGCAAUUGUAGAUCUGGAGCUUCUGCUGCUCAGUAUUUUUCUACCUUGCCAUGUAAUUCAAGAGUAUUCAUAUUGCCUAUAAGAACAUAGAUUCUA